rnacentral:lncRNA from 1 species
GAGUUAAAGCUAGUAGAUGAUAGAGCAUGAUCCUGAUGGCUUUGUCACCCAAGAAGAAUCAUGUUUUGUUGCAUAGCUCAUUGAUGUGUACUUAAAUUAUGGAUAAGUGAGAAGCGCAAGCAUAUAGCGUUUAAACCAACUCCCGUAGAACCAGCAAAGGCCGAAGAACGUGCACAAGCCAUUAUGGAUAAUGUAUAGGAAAUUAUUAUAACUAGGAUUGGCUGUGUAAAAUACUAACAUGAUUUAUUUUUAUUUUUCAUUUUUUUUUGUUUUUUGAUUUUAGUGAACUGUAAUCAAGAAAAUUUUAAAUGUAA